UUUAUGGAGAGUUUGAUCCUGGCUCAGGAUGAACGCUGGCGGCGUGCCUAAUACAUGCAAGUCGAGCGAACGGACGAGAAGCUUGCUUCUCUGAUGUUAGCGGCGGACGGGUGAGUAACACGUGGAUAACCUACCUAUAAGACUGGGAUAACUUCGGGAAACCGGAGCUAAUACCGGAUAAUGUUUUGAACCGCAUGGUUCAAAAGUGAAAGACGGUCUUGCUGUCACUUAUAGAUGGAUCCGCGCUGCAUUAGCUAGGUGGGAAGGUAACGGCUUACCAAGGCAACGCUGCCUAGCCGA
rnacentral:rRNA from 1 species